rnacentral:rRNA from 1 species
UACGGAGGGGGCUAGCGUUGUUCGGAAUUACUGGGCGUAAAGCGCACGUAGGCGGCUUUGUAAGUCAGAGGUGAAAGCCCGGAGCUUAACUCCGGAAUUGCCUUUGAGACUGCAUCGCUUGAAUCCAGGAGAGGUGAGUGGAAUUCCGAGUGUAGAGGUGAAAUUCGUAGAUAUUCGGAAGAACACCAGUGGCGUAAGGCGGCUCACUGGACUGGUAGUUGACGCGUGA